rnacentral:rRNA from 1 species
GAUGAACGCUGGCGGCGUGCCUAAUACAUGCAAGUCGAGCGAACAGAUGAGUAGCUUGCUCCUCUGUCGUUAGCGGCGGACGGGUGAGUAACACGUGGAUAACCCACCUAUAAUACUGGGAUAACUUCGGGAAACCGGCUCUAAUACCGGAUAAUAUAUUGAACCGCAUGGUUCAAUAGUGAAAGACGGUUUUGCUGUCACUUAUAGAUGGAUCCGCGCCGCAUUAGCUAGUUGGUAAGGUAACGGCCUACCAAGGCAACGAUGCGUAGCCGACCUGACAGGGUGAUCGGCCACACUGGAACUGAGACACGGACAAGACUCCUACGGGAGGGAGCAGUAGGGAAUCGUCCGCAAUAGGCGAAAGCAUGACGGAGCAACGCCGAGUGAGAGAUGAAGGUCUUCGGAUCGUAAAACUCGGUUAUUAGGGAAAAACAAAUGUGUAAGUAACUAUGCACGUCGUGACGGUACCUGAUCAGAAAGCAACGGCUAACUACGUG